ACAGGUUGCGGGUUUGCAAACGAGAGAAAUGUGGUAGCUGUGAAGAGGAUUUGAUUUUGGCAGAAGUAAAUUGACCCAUGUGUGUCCCUUGCGCUUACCAAUUAUGUAUUUCUCAGUUUGUACAAACAUGGCGGUAACUACAGCCAUAAUAGAAGGUAACCUAAGAGAAGCCAGCGCAUAAGAUCGCUCCUCGGAACAAUAAACGACCGCCAACACGUUUGCGACUGCCUCAAAUCUGUUGCCGACAUCACUGAAAGACAAGAUCAAUUAACUGCAAAGGAUAUAUGAUAUCGGGUUUUCGCCGGACGAAAAAACUUUUCUCCUCUUCUAUACCAACAAGUCCGACCUACUAAUUAAUGAAAUAGGAAAAUGAAACGCCGCCACCUCUGCAGCGCGAUUUCAAAACCGAACAAGGAUGGGAAAAUUCAGCCAGCGGGAAAUUGAUGUGGCGAAGAAUGACAGAAAUUUAGGUGGGUUGCCGCAGUUUAACGACGGGCAAAACACUGCGUUAUCCACGUGGAUUUGAUGAUGUGUCAUACCAAUACUUGACGGAAGUUCGUACACAUGGCAUUUUACGAUGACGUGGCUAUACUGCUGACUUGAUACUUGCCAUGUGUCCUUCAGUUGACGUCAUCAGCCAAAUUCUGUUAGUGUCAUGUUGUCAAUUUAAAUGAUGCUGCUCGCGUCCACGUGGCAAUCUGUGAUGACGUGUCGGUCAUUGGCCCAUGUGCAUACAGGUAGACACAAGGCUAGUCCAGCUGAUGUGGCAGUAAGAUCCAAUGUGGCUACGUGGCAAUACACGUUGACGUGUAAACUUUUCUACCUGUAUACGUGGCUCGACUCCUGACAUCGGCAGUGCUGCGUGUUGCGCUCUUGUACAUGUCUGUUGCCACGUUUCAUGCGAGUACACAUGGAAAUUUUUUAUUGUGUGGCUCAAGCCACGUGGUCAUUUACCAUUCCAUGUCGUGACACUUGGAUGUGUGCUUAUGUGGCACUACUCUACGUGGAUCGCGGUGCGUUGAUGCGGAUGACGUGUCUCCUUCUUUAGAUUACGUAGAUUACAGACGGCUACGACAGACAAACGUGGCACUUAUUUGUUGGCUACAGGAGAACCAGGUCAAACAACUCUAUCGUUCUUUACUCUCCCAAUUGGCGUUUCUUCUUCGUUCUUUUCCAGUUUUCCUGUAAGGAAAAUUGGAACUCCAUAAUGCAGAUGAGAAUUCCGUAUUCUUGCUGAGCGGCUCUGUCUCUCAUUCUGGGUCUAAUAGAAUUCUGAUUAUUUGGAAAUAUGCGAUCUUUAUAUAUUCUGAGUUUUUCUUAUCAAAAUUCUAUUCAAUUAGUUUCCUGCCUUUCCAACUGGCGAUAUUAUUUGAUGUAUAUGAUUCUGUUUCCAGGUACAACUUGUAAUAUAGGCUUCAUUAGAGUAUGUCCAGUUUAUAUGAGCUUGGCAUCACGGUAUCUUGCUCUGGGCUUGACGGUGACGCUGGAAAGAAUGUCCUGGAUGACUUUGUAGUUCUUUACCACAGCCGAGUUGACAAUGUCACUGAAUGCUUCUAAAUGUAACUCAAAUGGGACUGCAGAAAAUAAUGAAGGGCUUAUGGACACUAACAUCUCAUUUUUCAUGGAGUCAAAAUUGAGAAAUCCAACAGCAUAGUUUAUCAGUCUGUCUUUUUAAUUUCAUGCAACACUUUGAUGCACCAGCGGAGCUGAUAUAAUACCUCUUCACAUGGAAUCAUUGGAAAGGGCCAGGCUUGGUUCAAUUGCCCCUAUGCUAUGGUUGCUCCAGAAGAUGGACGCCAAAGAAAUUGCAAGUAUUUACUAUCAAUUGUGACAAAGAAGCAUACUCAAACCUAGUAAUUGGCUCUUCCUUUCAGUUUCAGUAUUGGCAGCAAAAGAUGGCAGUUUAUGAUCCUAAAAUCAGCAGCUCCUGCCCAUAUUUUUGAGUGACUUAAUGAGAAUGUAUUUCAUGUUGGGACUUGGAAGCGUGGAGGCUUUGUAUGUUCAAGUAUAACAUAUUUCUGUGACAUUUGUAUUUUUUUCCAUUGGGUUUUCUUCUUACCCUUAAGAUUUAAAUGGUAAAUUCCUCUUUUUUUUCUUUUA